ACUCCUGCCUCAGGCCUCAGCCACCACAGUAAGUGGAACUCUAUACCUCCACCUCGCCUGGCUGGGUGGAGCCUCUAAACUCAGGAUUCUGCCUUGAGCUGUGGCUCUCCCCUCAGGUUGACAGGGUCCAGAGCAAAACCUACGGAAGAAGCUGCAGAGGCCAGGUGGAGGGAAGGAUGCUGAACUGGAGGAGGCCAGGAAAUUAUGAGGUACACCAAUCAAACAUAGUGUGUCCAGAAUUUGUGGGUUCUUGGUCUCACUGACUUCAAGAACGAAGCUGCGGACCCUCACGGAAGAGAAGAGUGAUCAUCAGCAGCAAAAGGCAAUUGCAGAGAAGCACCACCAAGAGCCAGCUUCAUGCUCAGGAGUGAAUGCUGAGCCGCCUCCUCGUGGUUUCCGGUGCUCCACAUGUUCAGAGAAACUUCUCUGGUAAGAAACUAUAGAAAUGGUGCAUGGAAGUGUUACUAGAAAGGGUUCCUGAUCCAAACCCCAAGAGAGGGUUCUUGGAUCUCACGCAAGAUCCAAGAAUUUAGGGUGCAUCCAUAGAGUAAAGUGAAAGCAAGUUUAUUAGUGUAUUAGUUUGUUUUCAUGCUGCUAAUAAACACAUACCUGAGACUGGGUAAUUUAUACAGGAAAGAGGUUUAAUGGACUCCCAGUUCCACACGGCUGGCGAGGCCUCACAAUCAUGGUGGAAGGCAAGGAGGAGCAAGUCAUGUCUUACAUGGAUGGCAGCAGGCAAAGAGAGAGCUUGUGCAGGGAAACUCCCCUUUAUAAAACCAUCAGAUCUUGUGAGACUUAUUCACUGUCACGACAACAGCAUGGAAAGACCUGCCCCCAUGAUUCAAUUACCUCCCACCAGGUCCCUCCCACAACACAUGGGAAUUCAAGAUGAGAUUUGGGUGGGGACAUAGUCAAACUGUAUCAAUUGGGAAAGUAAAGGAAUAAAAGAAUAGGAGGAGCCAAGAUGGCUGAAUAGGAACAGCUCCAGUCUACAGCUCCCAGCAUGAGCGACGCAGAAGAUGGGUGAUUUCUGCAUUUCCAUCUGAGCUUUGAAAAGAGCAGUGGUUCUCCCAGCACGCAGCUGGAGAUCUGAGAAUGGGCAGACUGCCUCCUCAAGUGGGUCUCUGACCCCUGACCCCUGAGCAGCCUAACUGGGAGGCACCCCCCAGUAGGGGCAGACUGACACUUCACAUGGCCGGGUACUCCUCUGAGACAAAACUUCCAGAGGAACGAUCAGAUGGCAGCAUUCGCAGUUCACGAAAAACCGCUGUUCUGCAAACACCGCUGCAGAUACCCAGGCAAACAGGGUCUGGAGUGGACCUCUAGCAAACUCCAACAGACCUGCAGCUGAGGGUCCUGUCUGUUAGAAGGAAAACUAACAAACAGAAAGGACAACCACACCAAAAACCCAUCUGUACAUCACCAUCAUCAAAGACCAAAAGUAGAUAAAACCACAAAGAUAGGGAAAAAACAGAGCAGAAAAACUGGAAACUCUAAAAAGCAGAGCACCUCUCCUCCUCCACUAUUCACAAUUGCAAAGACUUGGAACCAACCCAAAUGUCCAACAAUGAUAGACUGGAUUAAGAAAAUGUGGCACAUAUACACCAUGGACUACUGUGCAGCCAUAAAAAAUGAUGAGUUCAUGUCCUUUCUAGGGACAUGGAUGAAAUUGGAAAUCAUCAUUCUCAGUAAACUAUCGCAAGGACAAAAAACCAAACACCGCAUGUUCUCACUCAUAGGUGGGAAUUGAACAAUGAGAACACAUGGACACAGGAAGGGGAACAUCACACUCUGGGGACUAUUGUGGGGUGGGGGGAGGGGGGAGGGAUAGCACUGGGAGAUAUACCUAAUGCUAGAUGAUGAGUUAGUGGGUGCAGCGUACCAGCAUGGCACAUGUAUACAUAUGUAACUAACCUGCACAAUGUGCACAUGUACCCUAAAACUUAAAGUAUAAUAAUAAAA
rnacentral:lncRNA from 1 species